rnacentral:rRNA from 1 species
UACAGAGGGUGCGAGCGUUAAUCGGAAUUACUGGGCGUAAAGCGCACGUAGUCGGCUUUGCAAGUCGGGUGUGAAAUCCCCGGGCUCAACCUGGGAACUGCAUCCGAGACUGCAUUGCUAGAGUAUGGGAGAGGGAAGCGGAAUUUCUGGUGUAGCAGUGAAAUGCGUAGAUAUCAGAAGGAACAUCAGUGGCGAAGGCGACUUACUGGACGAUUGUUGACGCUGAGGUGCGAAAGCGUGGGGAGCAAACAGG